rnacentral:rRNA from 1 species
AUUGAACGCUGGCGGCAGGCCUAACACAUGCAAGUCGUGCGGAAGGAGGGAGCUUGCGCCUGGCGUCAGCGGCGGGCGGGUGUGUAAUGCCUAGGAACCUCCCUGGUCGUGGGGGAUAAGGUCGGGAAACGGGCGCUAAUACCGCAUACGUCCUGUGCGAGAUAGUGGGGGUUGUUCAGACCUCACGCUAUCAGAUGAGCCUAGGUCGGAUUAGCUAGUUGGUGGGGUAAUGGCCUACCAAGGCGACGAUCGGUAACUGGUCUGAGAGGGUGAUCAGGCACACUGGGACUGAGACACGGUCCAGACUCCUACGAGAGGCAGCAGUGGGGAAGAUUGGACAAUGGGCGGAAGCCUGAUCCAGCCAUGCCGCGUGUGUGAAGAAGGGCUUCGUAUUGUAUAGCACUUUUAGUUGGGAGGAAGGGCAGUAAGUGAAUACCUUGCUGUUGUGACGGUACCAACAGAAUAAGCACCGGCUAACUUCGUG